rnacentral:rRNA from 1 species
UACGUAGGUGGCAAGCGUUGUCCGGAUUUACUGGGCGUAAAGGGCGUGCAGGCGGUCUGUUAAGUGCAGGGUGAAAGCUCCCGGCUCAACUGGGAGAGGUCCUUGCAUACUGGCGGACUUGAGGGGGGUAGAGGAAAGUGGAAUUCCCGGUGUAGUGGUGAUAUGCGUAGAUAUCGAGAGGAACACCUGUGGCGAAGGCGGCUUUCUGGGCCCUACCUGACGCUGAGACGCGAAAGCGUGGGGAGCGAACCGG